rnacentral:rRNA from 1 species
AAAGGAAUAGACGGGGGCCCGCACAAGCAGCGGAGCGUGUGGUUUAAUUCGAGGCUACACGAAGAACCUUACCUGGGUUUGACAUACAAGUAGUAGUGAAGCGAAAGCGGAACGACCUUCGGGAGCUUGAACAGGUGCUGCAUGGCUGUCGUCAGCUCGUGCCGUGAGGUGUUCGGUUAAGUCCGCAAACGAGCGCAACCCUCGGCGUUAGUUACAAGUGUCUAACGCAACUGCCCGUGAGAAACGGGAGGAAGGUGGGGAUGACGUCAAGUCAGCAUGGCCUUUAUAUCCAGGGCUACACACACGCUACAAUGGGCGGUACAACGGGUCGCGAAGCCGCGAGGUGGAGCCAAUCCAUAAAGCCGUUCGUAGUUCGGAUUGCAGGCUGCAACUCGCCUGCAUGAAGUCGGAGUUGCUAGUAACCGCAGGUCAGCUAUACUGCGGUGAAUACGUUCCCGGGCCUUGUACACACCGCCCGU